rnacentral:lncRNA from 1 species
AGGCUCUAGGAAUCAAACUCGUGACUACAGGCUGUGUGGAGAACACUUUUACCCACUACGCCGUUUCUUCAACCCCCGUCUCUUGCCAUUGGAGGUGUAGAGACGUUUGCAGUCAUCUUCAAUCUACUCCGUCUAGAGGAGGGACAACUCCCAGUGGCCACACUGGGCUGGGCCUCGAGGAGCUGCUUCUCUUUCCUGUUCUCCAUUGUAAUAUCUUCCUAUGGCAACCCUUUUUUCAAGAUCCAUCCCACCCUACCCCCACCUCCUGUGUACUCCGCCUUUUGGUGUGGACCUGAUCCUCCUAGCUCUUUCCUGAAGACCCUCUCAGUAUUUCCCCUUGCCCGUCUCCAUUCCCUUGCAGCACAUGCCAGUCCACAAACACUCUCUCUACUAGCAACCUUUCAGUCACCAGAACCCAGACUGACCAAGAGCAACCGAAGAAGGGAACAUCCACCCAGCAAAGUCAGGGUCAAAUAUCUAUCUACACCAAGAGACUCCUCAAAUAUCACAACCCCAGAGGCCUAGAUCCCAAUGCAACCAUGAACAGCCAAGGCAAUAUGCGUUCUCCAGAAGCCAGUGACCUUAUUACAACAGGCCCUGGAAAAAAGCCAAUUCAAAUGAGAACAUCAAGCAGUUAUAAAUAUGGUCAAGGACCUCAAAGACGAUAUGAGCAAAUGCCUUAAUAAAGACCAUGAAAAC